GAAUGAACAAUAAAGCACAAAAUAACAACAUAACUUGAACACUUUACAUAAUAACAGAUCAUACCACCAUCAAAACCAGAGCUCAAAUUUUAAAUCCAAAAACGAACAUCGCAAACAACAAAAGCAAGCAAAGAUCAAAAUUGAGGAAGAGAGAUAGGAGGAAGUGCCUGCCAAUCCAGAAGGAGAGAGAAGCGCCGAGGAUUUUGGCAGAGAAGACGCACAAAAGCGCCGGCAAAAAUCCGAAGAGCAUCGAAGCUCCGGCCUCGAAGAAGACGGCGUACGGCAGGCAGAGCGCCAGAGUGAGCGUGUGGAUUCCGACAUAUGCGGGGAUCGCCCAAUGCCCUAACCGAUCGGACAUUUCUUUCAGCCAUUGCAUCAUGACGGAGUUAUCCCAUCCUAAUUGUUCGGCCACCUGUUUCCUCAUAACCACCGCGACGGCCAGCGCAACCACCGCCGCCGCAGUCCCCCAUCGCCCGCCCAAUAAACCCAUUUUCCGGCGUCCGAGGGUCCGCGUUCUUCCUGCGGUUGGGGUCAGUGAGUUUGCGUGACUGCUUGUUGUGCGGGUAGCCGGCGAGGUGGACUCAAAAUGUCAAAUGAGGCUGUCUCCUUAAUUGUUUACGAUAAUACCCCUUUGCUUAUGAAGAAUUCUAGAAUAGACCACAUACUUUGUGAUAAGAUGCCGGAAAACCCCCUUCUAUCACCGUCCGUCAAUAAACGUAGUUUACUACUCCGUUCGUCUUCACUUUACCUAUUUUAUUUUUAGAUAAAUUAAUCUUUAUUAUAAUAAAUAUGAAUCACAUAUUACUCCCUCCCUUCCUUAUCUCGACACAUCUGCUUUUGGCACGAAAAUUAAG